GGUUCGGUGGUGUAGUUGGUUUAUCACGUCAGUCUAACAUUCCAUCAUUGCUUCUUAUGACGCGAUAUGAGGUUCACUGAAGGUCGGGAGUUCGAGCCUCCCCUGAAUCA
rnacentral:tRNA from 1 species